rnacentral:tRNA from 1 species
AAUAAAGUGCCUGAUAAAAGGAUUACCUUGAUAGGGUAAACUAUGUAAUUUAAAUUACCUUUAUUA